UGCGUAGGCGGUUUUUCAAGUCAGGAGUGAAAGGCUAUGGCUCAACCAUAGUAAGCUCUUGAAACUGUUAAACUUGAGUGCAGGAGAGGAAAGUGGAAUUCCUAGUGUAGAGGUGAAAUUCGUAGAUAUUAGGAGGAACACCAGUGGCGAAGGCGACUUUCUGGACUGUAACUGACGCUGAGGCACGAAAGCGUGGGGAGCGAACA
rnacentral:rRNA from 1 species